rnacentral:rRNA from 1 species
AACGAACGCUGGCGGCAGGCUUAACACAUGCAAGUCGAGCGCCCCGCAAGGGGAGCGGCAGACGGGUGAGUAACGCGUGGGAACAUACCCUUUAGUACGGAAUAGCCUCGGGAAACUGGGAUUAAUACCGUAUACGCCUACGGGGAAGAUUAUCGCUAAAGGAUUGGCCCGCGUUGGAUUAGCUAGUUGGUGAGGUAAUGGCUCACCAAGGCGACGAUCUAUAGCUGGUCUGAGAGGAUGAUCAGCCACACUGGGACUGAGACACGGCCCAGACUCCUACGGGAGGCAGCAGUGGGGAAUAUUGGACAAUGGGCGAAAGCCUGAUCCAGCCAUGCCGCGUGAGUGAUGAAGGCCCUAGGGUUGUAAAGCUCUUUCGCUAGAGAAGAUAAUGACGGUAUCUAGUAAAGAAGCCCCGGCUAACUUCGUGCCAGCAGCCGCGGUAAUGUCG